CUUGGUACAGUUGAUCUCGCUACCACCCAGAGGCACAGCUGCUGAGAUGUCCCAGUACACGUCCUGGCUGUACUUGUAGUGAAGCAGCCUGUGGGGAGGGAGAGAGAGGACGUAAUGAAAGAGUUCUACCACACCAAGGACUAAUACCCGUCCAUCUGUGACCUGCCGUGACCUGUCCUGACCUGCGCAACAAGGAGAGGUCAUGCGUGGUCACCAACAACAGGAGGGGGAUGCCAGAGAGAGGACCAAGCCUGACCUGUCACAGAAAACGGAGGGGGUCACAAGGGAACACAAAGACACCCAGUAAUAGAACAAUCCAAGUGAGUGAUACAGUUGCGCAUAUCACUACAGAUAGAGAUGGGGAGAGAGAAGAGGGAGAGGAGAGAGAGAGAGGGGAGGAAUGAAGAGCAGGCGUGCGGUCUCCUAGUCCACAGAUACUGGUUACUAGUCCACAGGUCAUCGAGGCGGCCAGAUGGUUACCAGGGUGUCAUGACGCUGCUGGUGCUAACUGACAUAACGCUCACCCCCUCCCCCAUCCCUCCACCCGUACACCCUCCCCGCCUCUCUCUCUCUCUCUCUCUCUCUCU